ensembl:lncRNA
GUGAUCUGACCUGAUCCAGGAACCAGUCGGGUCGACUGCCGGAGCCAUCGAUGCGAAGCCUCAUUUUCCUCAGUGGAGCGACGUCAUCGAUCUCCAUGUUGAAAGUGUCCUCCUGACCGCGCUCGAACCUGUUGUGGAACACAUAGAGGACACAGAGUUUAUGAGCAUCUCCUCCGUGCUGCCGUUGGCUCCGAAUACAGACAUGAAGAUCAGGGUGUCUGUUCCUGCGUCCUGCACGUCCCCCGUUACUACGGUAACCUCGUAAAUAAUCUGAUGGGAAUAUAUUAGACGUUAAGUUAAAUCAAAUAACAUUAUAUUUAUAGUUAUAUUUCUAAGUAACAUAAAUAGAUAUGAAGACAAAGGACAACCAUUUAAUGGAAUAAAUGAACCUCAAAUAUGUCAAUUUUGAUGCAUAUUCUUAGCUGAACAACUUAAUCAUUACACACCACAUUACGGAUAUCUAAAUACCUGCUGGGAGAUGGAAAUGGCCUCUGCAUCCAGCACGCUGAACACUCGAGCAGUCAGACCAUCUCCUCGAUCUUUGGCC